rnacentral:rRNA from 1 species
AGCGGCGGACGGGUGAGGAACGCGUAGGAACCUGCCUAGUAGAAUGGGACAACCGAUGGAAACGUUGGCUAAUACCGUAUGUAACUCGGAAGAGGAAAGCUGCAGAAAUGUAGCGCUACUAGAGGGGCCUGCGCCCGAUUAGCUAGUUGGUGGGGUAAAGGCCUACCAAGGCGAUGAUCGGUAACUGGUCUGAGAGGACGACCAGUCACACUGGGACUGAGACACGGCCCAGACUCCUACGGGAGGCAGCAGUGGGGAAUAUUGGACAAUGGGGGCAACCCUGAUCCAGCGAUGCCGCGUGGGUGAAGAAGGCCUUCGGGUUGUAAAGCCCUUUAGGCUGGGAAGAAGGGUGCAGGAGGAAAUGCCUGUACUUUGACGGUACCAGCAGAAUAAGCACCGGCAAACUCUGUGCCAGCAGCCGCGGUAAUACAGAGGGUGCGAGCGUUAAUCGGAGUUACUGGGCGUAAAGGGCGCGUAGGCGGAUGCAUGAGUGUGAUGUGAAAGCCCUGGGCUUAACCUGGGAAGUGCAUUGCAAACGAUGUAUCUGGAGUAGAGGAGAGGGUGGCGGAAUUUCCGGUGUAGCGGUGAAAUGCGUAGAGAUCGGAAGGAACGUCGAUGGCGAAGGCAACCACCUGGCCUCAUACUGACGCUGAAGCGCGAAAGCGUGGGUAGCGAACAGGAUUAGAUACCCUGGUAGUCC